UCAGACGAUGCGUCAUGCAUAUCAAUAAGCGGAGGAAAAGAAACUAACAAGGACUCCCUUAGUAACGGGCGAGUGAAGCGGGAAGAGCUCAAAUUUGAAAUCUUCAAGGUUUGACCUUGACGAAUUGUAGUUUAAAGAAGUGUUUUCGGUUAGAGAGUUUGGUAAAAGUUCUUUGGAAUAGGACAUCAUAGAGGGUGAGAAUCCCGUAUUUGACCUAUUAUUUCCAGCUUUGUGAUACACUUUCAAAGAGUCGGAUUGUUUGGGAAUGCAGUCCAAAAUGGGUGGUAAAUUUCAUCUAAAGCUAAAUAUUGGCGAGAGACCGAUAGCGAACAAGUACCGUGAGGGAAAGAUGAAAAGAACUUUGAAAAGAGAGUUAAACAGUACGUGAAAUUGUCAAAAGGGAAGCGUUUGACACCAGUGUUGUUUUCUCGAAAAUCAAUUAAAAAGAGUUGGAUUUUGUGUUGUAUUGACCUUAACAGCUUGCUUCACUCUUUUCCUGCUUUUUUUAAUGCACUUUUCGUUUAACAAGUCAAUAUCAGUUUCUUUUGUUGUAAAAGGGUCAUUGGAAGGUGGCUUUCUCUUCGGAGAAAGUGUUUAUAGCCUUUGAUCUCUGCAAUCGGAGAGACUGAGGUCUGCAGCGUAGAUCCUUCGGGGUUAGAUACAUUUGUGCUAAGCUACAGCUUUUCAUAGACAACUUGUUGACUAUGUUUAGUCUUGUAACUUACCCGCUUAUGCUAUUUUACCUACGCUUAGGAUGUUGAUAUGCAUGACUGAUAU
rnacentral:rRNA from 1 species